UGUCAAGUCCCACAGCCUGGCAACAGUUCAACACAAGCUGGCAUAAAGCAAACGGAUUUGAAAACAUGGGUUUGAAAACAUGGCACGUAAAAAAAACUGAAGUUGAGCAUCAUAAUAGAAAAACAAACCCCAUUUUAAGCUUUAUUAACACAGUAGAAUGCUCUCAACCAAAAACAAGACAUCCACACAAAUAAAGAAAAAUUCCAUCUUUCAAUUAAAACAACUCUAGUUCAUAUUUUAGCUUCCAAUAUAAUAAUAUAAAGUUCGAAAAGCUGUAAAUGUGAAGAUAAUGAGAAGAUACAUGCCUUUCAGAUACCGGUGAAGACAAAGACGGUAGUGUGCGGUGGAAGUUAGAACGACGUUAAAACAGGAACAGAUGUAUCAAUAAGCAUGGCUUGUGCAUCAAUGGCAGUCAGCAUCAACAUAGCAGGGUUU